GGUUAAGCGACUAAGCGUACACGGUGGAUGCCCUGGCAGUCAGAGGCGAUGAAGGACGUGCUAAUCUGCGAAAAGCGUCGGUAAGGUGAUAUGAACCGUUAUAGCCGGCGAUGUCCGAAUGGGGAAACCCAGUGCAAUUCGUUGCACUAUCGUUAACUGAAUACAUAGGUUAACGAGGCGAACCGGGGGAACUGAAACAUCUAAGUACCCCGAGGAAAAGAAAUCAACCGAGAUUCCCCCAGUAGCGGCGAGCGAACGGGGAGCAGCCCAGAGUCUGAAUCAGCUUGUGUGUUAGUGGAACGGUCUGGAAAGUCCGACGGUACAGGGUGAUAGUCCCGUACACCAAAAUGCACAGGUUGUGAACUCGAAGAGUAGGGCGGGACACGUGGUAUCCUGUCUGAAUAUGGGGGGACCAUCCUCCAAGGCUAAAUACUCCUGACUGACCGAUAGUGAACCAGUACCGUGAGGGAAAGGCGAAAAGAACCCCGGCGAGGGGAGUGAAAAAGAACCUGAAACCGUGUACGUACAAGCAGUGGGAGCACCUUCGGGUGUGACUGCGUACCUUUUGUAUAAUGGGUCAGCGACUUAUAUUCUGUAGCAAGGUUAACCGUAUAGGGGAGCCGCAGGGAAACCGAGUCUUAACUGGGCGUUAAGUUGCAGGGUAUAGACCCGAAACCCGGUGAUCUAGCCAUGGGCAGGUUGAAGGUUGGGUAACACUAACUGGAGGACCGAACCGACUAAUGUUGAAAAAUUAGCGGAUGACUUGUGGCUGGGGGUGAAAGGCCAAUCAAACCGGGAGAUAGCUGGUUCUCCCCGAAAGCUAUUUAGGUAGCGCCUCGUGAACUCAUCUUCGGGGGUAGAGCACUGUUUCGGCUAGGGGGUCAUCCCGACUUACCAACCCGAUGCAAACUACGAAUACCGAAGAAUGUUAUCACGGGAGACACACGGCGGGUGCUAACGUCCGUCGUGAAGAGGGAAACAACCCAGACCGCCAGCUAAGGUCCCAAAGUCAUGGUUAAGUGGGAAACGAUGUGGGAAGGCACAGACAGCCAGGAUGUUGGCUUAGAAGCAGCCAUCAUUUAAAGAAAGCGUAAUAGCUCACUGGUCGAGUCGGCCUGCGCGGAAGAUGUAACGGGGCUAAACCAUGCACCGAAGCUGCGGCAGCGACACUAUGUGUUGUUGGGUAGGGGAGCGUUCUGUAAGCCUGCGAAGGUGUGCUGUGAGGCAUGCUGGAGGUAUCAGAAGUGCGAAUGCUGACAUAAGUAACGAUAAAGCGGGUGAAAAGCCCGCUCGCCGGAAGACCAAGGGUUCCUGUCCAACGUUAAUCGGGGCAGGGUGAGUCGACCCCUAAGGCGAGGCCGAAAGGCGUAGUCGAUGGGAAACAGGUUAAUAUUCCUGUACUUGGUGUUACUGCGAAGGGGGGACGGAGAAGGCUAUGUUAGCCGGGCGACGGUUGUCCCGGUUUAAGCAUGUAGGCUGAUUGUCCAGGCAAAUCCGGAUAAUCAAGGCUGAGGUGUGAUGACGAGGCACUACGGUGCUGAAGUAACAAAUGCCCUGCUUCCAGGAAAAGCCUCUAAGCAUCAGGUAACAUCAAAUCGUACCCCAAACCGACACAGGUGGUCAGGUAGAGAAUACCAAGGCGCUUGAGAGAACUCGGGUGAAGGAACUAGGCAAAAUGGUGCCGUAACUUCGGGAGAAGGCACGCUGGUGUGUAGGUGAAGUCCCUGCGGAUGGAGCUGAGACCAGUCGAAGAUACCAGCUGGCUGCAACUGUUUAUUAAAAACACAGCACUGUGCAAACACGAAAGUGGACGUAUACGGUGUGACGCCUGCCCGGUGCCGGAAGGUUAAUUGAUGGGGUUAUCCGUAAGGAGAAGCUCUUGAUCGAAGCCCCGGUAAACGGCGGCCGUAACUAUAACGGUCCUAAGGUAGCGAAAUUCCUUGUCGGGUAAGUUCCGACCUGCACGAAUGGCGUAAUGAUGGCCAGGCUGUCUCCACCCGAGACUCAGUGAAAUUGAACUCGCUGUGAAGAUGCAGUGUACCCGCGGCAAGACGGAAAGACCCCGUGAACCUUUACUAUAGCUUGACACUGAACAUUGAGCCUUGAUGUGUAGGAUAGGUGGGAGGCUUUGAAGCGUGGACGCCAGUCUGCGUGGAGCCAACCUUGAAAUACCACCCUUUAAUGUUUGAUGUUCUAACGUUGGCCCCUGACCGGGGUUGCGGACAGUGUCUGGUGGGUAGUUUGACUGGGGCGGUCUCCUCCCAAAGCGUAACGGAGGAGCACGAAGGUUAGCUAAUCCUGGUCGGACAUCAGGAGGUUAGUGCAAUGGCAUAAGCUAGCUUGACUGCGAGCGUGACGGCGCGAGCAGGUGCGAAAGCAGGUCAUAGUGAUCCGGUGGUUCUGAAUGGAAGGGCCAUCGCUCAACGGAUAAAAGGUACUCCGGGGAUAACAGGCUGAUACCGCCCAAGAGUUCAUAUCGACGGCGGUGUUUGGCACCUCGAUGUCGGCUCAUCACAUCCUGGGGCUGAAGUAGGUCCCAAGGGUAUGGCUGUUCGCCAUUUAAAGUGGUACGCGAGCUGGGUUUAGAACGUCGUGAGACAGUUCGGUCCCUAUCUGCCGUGGGCGCUGGAGAAUUGAGGGGGGCUGCUCCUAGUACGAGAGGACCGGAGUGGACGCAUCACUGGUGUUCGGGUUGUCAUGCCAAUGGCACUGCCCGGUAGCUAAAUGCGGAAGAGAUAAGUGCUGAAAGCAUCUAAGCACGAAACUUGCCCCGAGAUGAGUUCUCCCUGAGACUUUAAGUCUCCUGAAGGAACGUUGAAGACGACGACGUUGAUAGGCCGGGUGUGUAAGCGCAGCGAUGCGUUGAGCUAACCGGUACUAAUGAACCGUGAGGCUUAACCUU
rnacentral:rRNA from 1 species